CCAGACUUUGCAUCUCGCUCCCCAGCAGCUGAGGGUCCAAGUCUCCGGGACUGGGUGGUCAAUGUAGUUGGUAGGAAUGAAUCCGCGACUUUGCCUGGCCGAUAAGGUAGGAAAAGAGAAGACUGGGGUAGAACUGGGUGAUAGAGGGGAGUAAUUUUGAGUCUAAGGCGUGUAGGACACUUCCGUCCUGGAAGCUGGGGUCUGUGAGGCUAAGAGCCCAGACACCAAUUUACUGAGUGAUCACCCCUUGCGAAGGAUGGCACUAGGCGUUUUAUAUUUAAUCUUCACUUACCAAGAUUAAAGAUUAAACGGCCCCUUCUGAAUUCAAAGAGGCCCAAGUUGUCGCAUACACGUAGAACUUUACGCUCACUUAUAUCCAUAAUAUUUCUUGUGGAAAAAUCCAGGGCCUGCCUGUGAGUGUCCCAGUGACUAAACACCUUAAUUUACAAAGGACAGUGUGACCUGUAAGCACCUGUUGGUCUGGUUUCUCUUGCAUAUGGGACUGCCUCAAGCCUGGGUUCUAAAUCUUGACAACAGAACAUAAUGGAACCAGCUGUGUCUGAAGGCAAAGGUCAAGUUGAGAGGAGAGACCUGUGUGAGAAGACUCUGAAUAUAGGCCAUCUAACCAGUUCCUAAAUCCUUCUGAUUUUUAGUCCUGGAUCAAACUGGGCCAAAUCUGAAGACAACAUACUUACGGAGUAUGACUUCUGACCUGGAUCUAAGCUUGUUCAGCAAGCUGCAAGGUUAUGAAUACCCUACUAUGGGGGAAGGGUGAUUUUGGAACGGGCUCAUUGUCACAGUUUUCCCCCUGGCCUCACCCCUGCCUGGUUGGACUCUCUUCAAAGUCUUAUUGUGCAUCCUGAUGUGAGUACAAACUGAAAGCUGUUUUUCUAUAGGCCCCGGGAGUGCCAGACAACACUGCUUUGGAAACUAUAAUCCCCGCAGUUAGAGAUAUCUGUUCUCCACAGCGUGGCAAAACAUGGUACAACUCUUGUGCAGAAGGACCCUGAUAAUUUGAACAGCUUCGGCAGCUUCAGUACAUCAGGGUAAGCUUUAAGAUGAUGUAACGUUGGCAUCUGGGAACCAGUACCUUCGGCCACAAUGGACAGGCCACCCUAGCCCACACCCUCCACUCUGGCAGCCUCAGCACAAGUUUGUCAAGCAUCAGGAGCAGCACCUUCGACCUAUUUAAGCAAGAGCAGCGGGACACACACAUUGGCCGGGACACACAUGUGUGGUUGGGGUGACUGCGCUGGGGAUAUCUUAGCAGUGGAUCUCCGCAGGAAGCCAGAGCAGGUUAGGUUGGAAAAUGACAGAUUCUGUGUGGUGGCUGAGAGCACUGUUUGUCAGCACAUAUGCGACAACUCUUGGGGAGUCCUAUAAAUAUUGAGUAUGUGAUGCACGGUGGUGCUGAUACUGCUGAACCUGUCCUUCAGGAAAGCAGGCCCUACAGAGAGUGGAGGCAGAAGGGUGUCACCUGCCUUCAAGAGCAAUAACCAUGCACAGUGCCGCUCGGAGCCUGCAACGUUUGGAGGAGUGGAUUAACCAUGGAGGGGUUGCGAGAACUCCCAGUUCAGAACACAAAAGAAGAAAGAACAGAACAUUGCGAUGCAAAGAUUUAUGAGGGAGAAAGAUUCACUAAGAAAAGGAAAUUGGAAACCAAGGAAGCAGAAUAUUCAAAAGACAGCCAUGCACCACGCAUAAUAAUGAAGUUUCCCUGACUCCCUUUGGCUCAGGAAUCAUUGUAAGUGUUAAGCUGAUGAUGGAUCCCUAGGAACAACAUAGAGGAGCAGCUCAAUACAUUCCUUCUUGACCUGUAUAACCAAAGGAACUCUAGGUCUGGAAAAUAUAAGCCUGACUUGAGUCACUGCAGUAGAGAAUCUAGAUCAGCAUCAACUCAAAGACCCAGAGCUCACUGAAUGAAAGGAAGACUGAAAACCCUUGAGAAAGUGCCCUGAGGUAUUAUCACAGGUAUGUACUACAAAUCUUUCUAGCCUUCCCUAAGCAGCCUUCCUGUAGCCAUUGCCCACGUAACUAACUAUACACUGUGGGGGAAGCAAAUACCCAAACAUUUUCAGAGAUUAUUGAACACUGGAUCUGAGCUAAACCCUGAGGACCCACAACACCACUCUAACACAUAAGCCAGAGUGGAGGCCUUGGGGGAGGGUGUCAUGCCAUAGAGACAUUUUUUUAAUUGAGGGUAUCAAGGUAGGUGGCUUGACCGAGAUGGUAAAAAGGAAAUACAUGGAAUUUGGGGCUUUGUCCAUAUCACAGUAGUCCCAGUAGAUCACAAAUAUACCCCAUUUUCCCCCCAUGUUCCUGAGUAUAUAUUGGGAAUAAAUAUACUCAAUGACUAAAAAAUCUGUAUGUUUCCUCCUGACCUAUAGAGUGAGGACUAUCAUGGUAGGAAGAAAGUGGAAUCCGUGGAGCUACCCUACCGAAAUGGUGGAUCAAAGCACCCUGUUUAUCGUGGAAUCACAGAGAUUAGAACUAAUAAAGCCUGGAAAGAGGCAAAGAGGAUAAUCUUCACUAUACUCCCAUUUACAUUAUUUGUUUGUCUUACGUAGAAGACCGAUCAUGGAGCAUAGUAGCGGACUCUCAUAAACCAAGUCAGGUAGAGGCUACAUUUAGUUCCAGACAGACUUUUCGACAUUGUAGAUCAAUACAUACCCUGGCACUUAGUAUGCAGCUGUUCAUCUGAAAAAUGAUUUUAUUUCUACAAGGAAACACCACCAUCAAGUAACUUUCAUGUGGAAAAGAGAGUUUUCUCUAUCUUGCUAUAGAAUUACAUCAGUUAUCCAGAGUCAUGUCAUGUUUUUACUCUAAAAGGCAUGCAUUUCUCAAGAUGGUGGCAAAGAGAAAUGUCUUGGAACCCUUUUCAGAGACAAAGGCCAGCAAAAGAUAAAAGGAAAGAGAAGAUUAAAAAUGGUUGUGUUAGCAAGAUUCAAGUGUGAUUCCCGCACUUGAAUGGAUCUGGAAAUCGACUGAGGAGUGUGUUACGGUGUGGAUUUUGUGCUAUUACCUCGAGAGAGUCUACUUCAAGAGGUCUGGGGUGGCCCCCGGGAUCAGAAUUUGCCCCAAGCAGUCCAGGUUGUUCUGAGGCUGGCUGUCCAAGGGCCACGCCUGGAGAAAUGCUGGUGAAGUGGAAAACACACAGGACUGGUCUCUGCCAUCACGAGGCUGGCCAUCUGCCUCACUGAGUCUGCUUCCUUGUCUGUAAAAUGGGGAUAGACUAUAGCUACGUCAGUGUCCUGAGGGUUAAAUGAGUUGAGGUAUAUGACAUGUUGGGAAUCAUAACUCAAAUGUUCCAUAGGUUUGAACGGCUCUGGGGUGAAAAAGAAUUAUUCUGGCUCCAGAAGGCAGAACUGGGCGAAGGGGAAGGAGUAGGUGAGGGGGCGGCAAGUCUGGCCUCUUAGGACGCAUUCUCUCGUCUUCGGACAUGGCCCAGCUGUCUUGGGAGGUGGCAAACAAAAACGUGUUGGGUCACACCAGCGAAAAGCACUGCAGAUGAGCGCUUGGGUUCGUGCCCACCUGCUAUGCCUCAGUGUGGUGCGGCCACUGCAACCAUACAGCUCGGCCUAUCCUCCCGUGUUCAGAAGGCACCCAUGCCCAGACCUGCUCCUCCUCAAAUCCAGAAUAAAUGCCCCAAACAAAACCUUCUCUCCUCAGGCCCUUGCCUGCUUCCUCGGCCUUAUUUCCUGUCUGUCCCCAUGAGUGCCUUUGGUUCCAUAUCCUAGAAGAUUCCCAGAUGCCCUCUUCCCAGCCACAUGCCCCCUCACCCCUAGCUGAAUCCUAUUAACCCUUUAGAACUUUAACCCAGUCAGGGCUCCCUCCAAGCUCCCUGAUCCUUCAAGCUGAGCCUCUUCUGCUCCUGUGGUGGCCCUGAGGACACUCAGUUCCCUCCUAGCACUUGCCAUCUUGUUUUGUGGUCCUCUGCCUGUCUGCGUUCUUCCAGUAGGGGCUCCUUGAGAACAGAGAUUGCCUUUUCCUCUGUAUCAUCAUCACCUGUCCCAGAGCCUAGCCCGGAGUGGGUGCUUAGUAAAUCUUAGUUGAGUGAAUGAAGGAGGGGUGGCAAGCUCUGGUGUUCCCUACCCAGGAGCAAACCAAUUCCCUAUUCCUUGGCCGCAUCCCUGUAGCAGGGUAAAAAGGCCAGAUUUCACUUCUCAGUCUCCACUGCAGUGAGAUCUGGUCAGCCAGGUAUGAGGAGAGUCUAAUGUAGAGGGAGUGCUCUAGAAACUGUUUUUCCAUUCCCCAGUAAAUGGAGGGAACCUCGCUGGAGGUCUCGCCCACCCCCACUACCUCCUGUGUGGACAGGCCUGUGUGAGUCAAGAUGUCUGAAGCUGUCCAAAGAUUCUCAGAAAUGCCAACCAAUAUCCUGAGGCCUCUGAAUCAACCCUUGAAUCUCCUACCUCCAGAAUUCUUACUUGAUGAGUAAUAAAUGUCCUUAUGGCCGAAGUCUCUAAACAAUCCUAAUCAACAGAGUGAUAAGAUAUUAUAAUGAGAAAAGAAAAGGAGGGAACCGAACAUAAAUAUUCCCUUCUUGGAAGGACAGAACCUCAGAAUCUACUGGCAUCUUAGAGAUUGUCAAGUUCAAACCUUGACCUUCACAUCUUUACUGCCGAUGUGCCCCUGGUUCCUAUCUGAACAUUCUUUAUGCAUACGAGGGAGGACAGGGUGGGGUGCCAUAUUUCAUGAUGCAGGCUCCCUGGACUCCUGAGUUGGAAUCUCCUUGACAGAGACCAGCCUCCUGGCCCUGUCUUCUGCCAGGCCUCUGCUGCCCACCCCUGAGAGUCCGCACAUGAGUGUAAAGGGCUUUAUCUCUGUUCCCCUCCAUAUCAAAGACCCAUCCAGGUCUUGAGGCCUUUCCUCUGGCUUGCGAUCAGACAUCUGCCCUUUCCCUUAGGUGGUGAAGGGUCCCCCCCUCCCUUAGCCUCCAAAUGUGGAAAAUUGUGGAGCGUUUGCUCAAAAGGAAAAUGGCUGAUUAGAUAAGAGUUUGAAUGAUCUGUCAUCUCUUCUAGGCACGUGCCUAGUGUUCAGCACCUUCAGGGUCAUCCACACACGUGCCGGGACCAGGAUGUGCUGAGUGUCUGAGAGAGGGGAGGGAGAGAAAGUGGGGCGGGUGGGGGAGACAUGGGAAAGGAGAGAAGGGGAGAGGAGGAGCAAAAAGAGGGAAAGGACCGGAGGGAGUUGGGAAUGGAAAAGGAAAGACCGCGUAGUGGUUAAGAGAAGGCAGUUUGGGGGUUACUUCAGUGGAGUUCAAAUCCCUAAAUACCACUGAGCUUGGAGAAGCUACUGGAUCUGUAUCUCAAUUUCCCAUCUGCAAAAUGAGGAUACUGUUAUUUAUCUCAUAGAGUGUUAUGAGGUGAUGUAUAAAAAGCACUUAGCACAGUCCUUCCUAUAUAAAAACUAAAGAAUAAAAGGCAGACUUUACUAGCAAGGGAACCGGUAAGAAAGAACAAGAAUGGAGAAGGAGGGGGAAGGAGAAGAAAGAAGAGAUUUGCAUUACAAAGAACAGAUGGAAGAGCAGAGGGGGAGAAAGUGAAAGGGAAACAGAAAUGGAAAUAAGAAAGACACAAAAGGAAAACUAGAAACAAAUGUCAUAUCCUUCCAAAAUUUGGGGCAAGUUUUCCAAACUGCCCUCAGUCCCUGAAGACUUUCCCCUUGAUCUUUUGUGUCGCUCAUUCCUUGCAUGUCCCCCAGGAGAUCUAAAAAUAGUCCCCCGGGCAAAGAAUGUGACGCUUUGGUCUGGUCUGCCAAGAGGCUUGACUGCUGCCCCCCUCACUUGCAGUGCAAGGGAUCCCACCUGGAAGAAAGAAAGCGCGGUGGAACAGGAGAAAGCCGGUUACAUCAGGUAGGCUCCCUCGUGGGGAGGGAAAAACAGAAACUAGCUGACGAGGUGGAGGGGUGACGCUGACUCCAUGUGCCCUGGAGGCCGCAAACAGGUGACGGGACUGAGCAUCUGCGACUUCCUGGAUGACUUAGGCGAGGUCAGAGAAACGUAAAGCUGCUACCAUGUACCAGUUGCUCAGUUUAUAAUAUGAGAGUCAGUUUCCCAGCUACACUGGGUCCUUUUGGGGGGGACUCAGCCAAAGAAAUAUGUAGAUUAGAUAGUCAUUGAGUUUACUGGGUGUACAGCAUACAAAAUGUUUUGUAGACUAUUAUCCGUUUCUUGGCAGGAAGUGUGUCAGAAGGGGCAAAGGAAGCUGCCCAUGCCAUGAAUAAAUUCUAUCAAAUACAAUGGCAAUAAUACACCUCACUGCUUUAGCUGUGAUCCUCACUGGCUUCCUACUGCUUAUGAAGUUCAGACCCUUUAACUUCAACUUGAGAUCCUCCACAGCACAGCUACAUCCUUUUUUCCCCGUUCCGCUCACAUACCCAAUACUUAGGCUACACAACUCCCCACUCACAAAUGGGGAGUAUACAUGGCCCACACCUUCUCACCUCUCUUUGUCUUAGCUCCUUUCCUCUCUACCUACGAAGUCCUUCCCUUUCAUUCAUCCAUUUAAAAUUUUUUUUAACGUUUAUUUAUUUUUGAGACAGAGAGAGACAGAGCAUGAACGGGGGAGGGGCAGAGAGAGAGGGAGACACAGAAUCGGAAGCAGGCUCCAGGCUCCGAGCCGGCAGCCCAGAGCCCGACACGGGGCUCGAACUCACGGACUGCGAGAUCGUGACCUGAGCUGAAGUCGGAGGCUUAACCGAUUGAGCCACCCAGGCGCCCCUCAUUCAUCCAUUUAAUAGGAGUGGUUACCAGGUAUCAUACAAGACCCUUAAGACACAGCAGUUAAAAAGACAAAUAAGGAGUCCCUGCUUUUACUGAACUUAACUGCCUUCAUAUCCCUUAAUGAAGGGGAGAGACCAAACACAUAAUUGCAAUAAAGCAUGAUGUGUGUUAACAUUAAGAAAGUUUAGUGUGCUCUGGGAACACCUCGGGGGAGUUGGCUCUGGCUUAGGGAGUUGGGGAGGGCCUCGUUAGGUCAGGACCCUCUGAGGAACCCUGGAUAAUUGAACUCUACAGCCUUUUGCAACUGAUACAACUGAAAUCCCCAAGGCAAAAGAGAUGGUCCCUGGAAGCCAGAUGAGAACAUCCCAACUCUGUAGUUUCUUCACUCCAAAACCUUCAACAUCCUCUCUAUGCGUGUCAUAUCCUGGGACAGAGCAAACAUUUGGAAGAGUCACCAGGGAACUUGCUUGGUAACAGUGACAUGGUGCUUAGAUAAGAGGGAAAGGGCCAAAGGAAGGCUUUUGUGUAUAGUGAGCAGGAAUCAUUUUAUUCCCCUACUUUGUGUAUUACGUGGCUACACACAAAAUUCAGGUACCUACAUUCCCAGUCCAGUGUUAGCAUUGUUGCCUUCCUACACAGCCAGUGUUUUCAAAGAAAACCAAAUUGGAGCAACCUGGGUUAACAAAAGCUCAUAGCCAGGACCUUUUCCUAUGACCCCACAGAUCUAGGUAGAAAUGGAGAAGUCUUUCCUCAAAUUGAUCCCAGCCCUCUUUGAUGUCUCCUGAACUCUAAAGACUCUAAAUUACUGUUCAGCCUGUAGGGUACAUUCUUACUUAUAUGCUGCCUUACACUGAUUUUCCAAAAUUUUCUAUCAGUCACCCACAAGUACUUUUUUGAGUCCCCUCUAUGUGCCUACCACUGUUCUGGGUACUGAAAAUUAUAUCUAAGAGACACCAGACCUGGCACUUACUGGGCCCUCAGUGAUGUCUGUUGAUCCAAUAACAUCAAGCAAGAGUCCUGCCCUCAAGGAUUUAACAGCUUUUCCCUUCAAAUGAGUAACAGAUUUCUCCAAGUCAAAAGCCCUGUCUUCUACUUUGUAUUCUUAUUGCAUUAGGUUCUCACGUUAGGUAAAUAAUAAAUGCUUUCUUGUUUGUUUAUU